UAAUGGCCGCCUGAGGGGAGAGGGUCCGUCUGGGCCUCAUAGAUAGCGAAACUGUGUGUGCCUGUGUUUGUUUUCGUUUGGCUAUUUGUGUGUGCGGAGAGUUCGCCAGUGAAUUGGAGGGUUGGCUAGAGGCGAGAGCUCUUUCCACAUUAGGAGCGCAGGGGCAAUGGUGGACCAGAUGAAGGGACCAGGGAAUUUGGAGAGUGUUAAGAUUGUGAAACCAGAACAGAUGAUUGUUGUAACACUGUCCCAUUUCAUGCUUGCAGUAAACACCCAAGAAAAGGCAUUACUGGUGUUUGUCCUUAUUCGAGGUUGAUCCUUUGGUGCAUCCAGUGUUCCGCUACAGUGAGAGAGAAGAAGGGAGCAAGACAGAGCAUGUGAGAGUGAGAUAUGUCAUACCUGAUCCAGGGCUUGGAGUGGUAAAGAUAUUUGUGCAUGCAGAGGCUGGUGGUACUUUAAGAUGAAGAGAUUGUUCUCUGCUUUCUCCAGAUGAGCUGCUCCUCAUCUCUCUCUCAGUCUCUCUCUAUGUACGAGGAAAAACAUGGAGAUGAAAGGCAGCUGAAGUGUUUGAAAAAUGGACUUUGAAAUAGAAAAGGUCCUGAUUGGCCUGUGUAAGAGAUGAGAGAGUGGAUGAGAAAAGAAUAAGAUGCAAAAUGAGAAACAGAUGAGUAAUGCAGGAGAUGACUGGCCAACACCAGCCGUCCAUUAGAA